UUGGAUGUGGUGUACGGUACACGCGAGCUCUCGCUGCCAUUGGAUCGAAAUCUAUGUUCUAGCUCGUUGUCCGGGGUUCAUAUCCCCGCGUCCGAA